GACGAACGCUGGCGGCGUGCCUAAUACAUGCAAGUAGAACGCUGAAGAGAGGAGCUUGCUCUUCUUGGAUGAGUUGCGAACGGGUGAGUAACGCGUAGGUAACCUGCCUUGUAGCGGGGGAUAACUAUUGGAAACGAUAGCUAAUACCGCAUAACAAUGGAUGACACAUGUCAUUUAUUUGAAAGGGGCAAUUGCUCCACUACAAGAUGGACCUGCGUUGUAUUAGCUAGUAGGUGAGGUAAUGGCUCACCUAGGCGACGAUACAUAGCCGACCUGAGAGGGUGAUCGGCCACAAUGGGACUGAGAAACGGCCCAGACUCCUACGGGAGGCAGCAGUAGGGAAGCUUCGGACAUGGGGGCAACCCUGACCGAGCAACGCCGCGUGAGUGAAGAAGGUUUUCGGAUCGUAAAGCUCUGUUGUAAGUCGAGAAAGGGUGUGAGAGUGGAAAGUUCACACUGUGACGGUAGCUUACCAGAAAGGGACGGCUAACUACGUG
rnacentral:rRNA from 1 species